ACGCUCGACACCUAGGGAGACAGCAGUGGGGAAUAUUGCACAAUGGGGGAAACCCUGAUGCAGCGACGCCGCGUGAGCGAAGAAGUAUUUCGGUAUGUAAAGCUCUAUCAGCAGGGAAGAAAAUGACGGUACCUGACUAAGAAGCCCCGGCUAACUACGNGCCAGCAGCCGACGGUAAUCUGAGGCGGGCGUGGACGAAGGC
rnacentral:rRNA from 1 species